CACGUAGGGUGCGAGCGUUAAUCGGAAUUACUGGGCGUAAAGCGUGCGCAGGCGGUUUUGUAAGCCAGAUGUGAAAUCCCCGGGCUUGACCUGGGAAUGGCAUUUGGGACUGCAAGGCUUGAGUGCGGCAGAGGAGACUGGAAUUCCUGGUGUAGCAGUGAAAUGCGUAGAUAUCAGGAGGAACACCGAUGGCGAAGGCAGGUCUCUGGGCUGACACUGACGCUCAUGCACGAAAGCGUGGGGAGCAAACAGG
rnacentral:rRNA from 1 species